UACGAAGGUCCCGAGCGUUAUCCGGAUUCAUUGGGCGUAAAGGGUGCGUAGGCGGCGGGGCAAGUCUGAUGUGAAAUCCCGGGGCUCAACCCCGGAACUGCAUUGGAUACUGCUCUGCUUGAGCACUGGAGAGGAGACUGGAAUUUACGGUGUAGCAGUGAAAUGCGUAGAUAUCGUAAGGAAGACCAGUGGCGAAGGCGAGUCUCUGGACAGUUGCUGACGCUGAGGCACGAAGGCCAGGGGAGCAAACGGG
rnacentral:rRNA from 1 species